rnacentral:rRNA from 1 species
CGUAGGGUGCGAGCGUUAAUCGGAAUUACUGGGCGUAAAGCGUGCGCAGGCGGUUAUAUAAGACAGAUGUGAAAUCCCCGGGCUCAACCUGGGAACUGCAUUUGUGACUGUAUAGCUAGAGUACGGCAGAGGGGGAUGGAAUUCCGCGUGUAGCAGUGAAAUGCGUAGAUAUGCGGAGGAACACCGAUGGCGAAGGCAAUCCCCCUGGGCCUGUACUGACGCUCAUGCACGAAAGCGUGGGGGAGCAAACAGGAUUAGAUACCCUGGUAGUCCACGCCCUAAACGAUGUCAACUGGUUGUUGGGUCUUCACUGACUCAGUAACGAAGCUAACGCGUGAAGUUGACCGCCUGGGGAGUACGGCCGCAAGGUUG